ensembl:lncRNA
AAACAAAAUCCCUGCUUUUUCUUUCAGAGAACAGGCUGGGUCAGGGCAUCUGUGUUUAAUUGUGUCCACCCUAUUCUCUGUUUAGGUGACCAGCUGUCGUUAACUUCAGAUGUUUUUCCUUGAGGAGAGUGUGCAGGAAUGAGAAGAAAACACCAUCAGAAUCAUGUGGACCCACAUUCAUCCCUCCCUUCACCCCUACUGGGAAGGAAUCCAGAAGGCUCAAAGAUGUGGAAAAAGCUACCAGAAAAACAGUACCUGAGACAGAGGGUAGAGAUUCCUAUGGCAGGAAUAGGCAGAAAGAAGAAAGUGUACGGCAGAAAUGACCAGAGACCGCAGAUGAGCUCAUGGCAGACAGUGAUGAAGUUUGAAUCCAGGGUAGCUGUCAUUGCAGAGAAUGAAACAUGGCCAAGAACUUCCUAAAUAUUAGACUAAUGUCAUUAUUGUUUCCUUACCUAUGACAGCUGAUGAACCAGCAUGAUCUAUGAUCUUUCUGGGUAUUUUAUUAAAUUUUCAUCACUGUGCUGCCUUUGCAAUCCACUUGCCUCAGGGAACAUUUGAGACUUGAAUUUGAAAAUGACAUUCACGAAAUUAGAUAUUCUUUGUGUGUGUGUGUGUGUAUGUGUGUAUGUAUGUGUGUCUUUUUUUUUUUCUUUUCUUUUCCUAGCUCCAAACUGUCUUCAAACAAAGUGUUAUAAAGAAUGGAGUCUUCGAGUCCUUUAACUGUUAGCUAUGACGUAGCUAAUUUUUGUUCCCCAAGCAAAUAUGUCAGAAAUGACUCCCUGUUUCUUUAUUAUUUGCAAAUAUAUGUUCUUUUAUCCCACCCCUUGGGGAAAGAAGAGCCUGCUUGGAUGGGCCUUAGGCCCAGGCUCUCAGAAAGUUAAGAAGGCUUUGGAGGGUAUUCUGAGGGCAGAUAAAUGGACAAAAUAAUGGUGCAGGGAGACUGUGUUGGAGAAAAUUCAGUAAGGCAAGAAGCACCGAGGAGUUCGACCCAGGAAGAAGCCCAGCGAGAGCUCUGGCAAUGUGAAACCAGGAAGUGACCUUUAGUUAAUCAAGUACGGAAGAUGAGAGGGCAGAGAUAAGACUCAAACCAAAAAAAGAAACUGAUAACAAUCAUUCUGAGAAGGGAAAUUCUAGUUCCUUGUUCUCUCUUCUUAUCAUAUGAUUUCUUAGGCUAUUCCUCUGUAUCGCUGGAUCACUGGAGGAAACAUGAAAAAUUUAAUUAAUGACUUGAACAUUUUCAUGUAGGCAGAGGUUUGGUUUCCUGUAGAUAAGACAUCUGGUUAAUUAAAUGAACUUUCUCCUUUUCAUCCAUGUUAUGACACUUGUAUAUUAUGUGGCCACAUGGUAUUUACUAGCUCACUUCCAUCUCUGUAAUUUGCUUUGCUCCGUGUUAUUUGAUCUGGACCAGCAACUUUAAGACAUCAUGUCUACCUCAUCAGUUAUGUCUGUCCCCAGUCAAAACCAACUGUGGGCCUCUGACACCUUUAUAUUGUUCAUAGCUUGAGACUAUAGCCCGUCCCUGUAGCCAGGCUAACGCUUUCUUCCUGCUUUAAACCUUGCCCACAAUUGGGAUUUUCCUGUAGGUCACACUAAGUCCACAACUCAUGAAGUGCUGUUCAAUGAGCAGAGUUUCCUGUGGUCUCCCAGAUGACAGUUGAGCAUGUCUCACUAUGGCAUGGAUGAUUUCCCAAAUCCAAGUUGGGGACAUUUCUAGAAUCUCAUGACAUAGGCAGACCCCCUACUACUGGCUCUUCCAAAUUGUGAACAUGUAAGUCAUACCACAACCCACUUAGCAAAUAUCUGAGUGGUCUCAGGGCUGUGCCCUUGAAUGGAUUACACUGCUCUGGGAUGUUCCAUAGGAUAAAAAAGUCACAAGAGAAGAAGAAAAAGUCUGGAGACUUGGAGAACAAAAUGCCGUAGAAACAAGAGUCUCUUCAUCAUCAGGAGCUCCAUAGCUGAAAUCUGCUUCCUUCAACUCUCAACCCAAUGCCCUAUCCCCAGCUGCCAAUCCAGCAAGAACACAUUUGUACAAAUGUGACCUGGGCUCACUCCUUGGGGGGAACUUGCUAGAAAUCUCAAGCAGUGAAUAGUUUCUGAAAGCUUAAGAAUACCCCUCUUAACUUUACCUCAAAAAGGUGAAAUGAUAGCAUAACAUGGACACAGAACAGCCUCUGGGAAAUGUGCAAGAAGUAAGCUCUCUUUUUGUUUUAUUCAGAUAUGAGUUUUCAUUUCACCAGACCCCAGUGGAUCUGAUCCAAUGACCUAGAGAUUCAUGAGAUUGAAAUUACCCUGGUAAACAACAUGAUCUUUCUAAGAUUCCAGGCAUUCCUGGUACUAAAAAGCCUCCUAAGCUAUUGACAAUUUUUUUUUUAAUUGUGGGUAAACUACACAUAACAUACAACUCAACAAUUUAACUAUUUUUAAGUGUACAGUUCUGUGGCAUUAAGUAACUUCACACUGUUGUGUGACCAUCACUGUCAUUCAUUUCCAGAACUUUUCUUUCCAAACUGAAACUCGGUAACCUUUAAAAUCGAAUUCUCUAUUUCCUCUUUCCCCUCUCAGCCCCUGCCCACCAUCCUGCUUUCUGUCUCUAUGAAUUUGACGACUCUGGGUACCUCAUAGAUAUUUGACUACUCUGGGUACCUCACAGAAAUGGAAUCAUAUAGAAUUUGUCCUUUUGUGACUGGUUGAUUUCACUGAUAAUUCUUAACUAUUAUAACAUUUUCCUCAGUCAACUUGUUUGUAUGUCACAUAGAUCCAGAUAUACUCUUGGUGUCAUUGAGGGUCCUAACAGCCCUUUUCAAUAAUAUAGUAUAUCAGAAAAUCAGCAUGUAUUUAUUGAAUUCCUACUAUAUGUUUAGUUAUAAAAAAAUAAGAAUUUUGAAGAAUAAUCAUUAUCUCUCCCCUUAAGAAAAUUCUAACUUUGUAGAUGUGGAGGCAAAGUGGAUGCACAUAAAAUAGUAGUAAACAGCAUAUAUGCACAUGUAUGCAGACAAACACACACAUAUUCACAUGUAGGCAUCUGACCUCACUACUUUUAUGUGGUA